rnacentral:rRNA from 1 species
GCAUAUCAAUAAGCGGAGGAAAAGAAACCAACAGGGAUUGCCCCAGUAACGGCGAGUGAAGCGGGAAGAGCUCAAGAUGGGAAUCGCUCUCGGGCGAAUUGUAGUCUACUGAGGCGUGACCACGCAGGUCCCUGGCUCAAGUCCCUUGGAAGAGGGCGUCAUGGAGGGUGACAACCCCGUCUGUGGCUAGGGCACUUCUCUGUGGUACGGUCCGCUCUCUAGGAGUCGAGUUGUUUGGGAAU